rnacentral:lncRNA from 1 species
UGCCGUCGUCGUCGCUUGUGUACAGAUUAUGGAGUUAGGAGAUUUGUCAUGAGCCGUUACGACUCGCCGGUAAUGUAUCGUCGGAGACAAAUAGGCAGCGGUUACAACUCAUCGGUGAGGAAGAGACGGCGGUAUGACUCGUCGGAGAUGAAAAAGUGACGGUUACAAAUCACCGAAAUGGCAUAAUUUCGAUAGUUUAUGGUUUAUUAAAAUUUUGUUUUUAUGGCAACAAUAUUGGUAGCAAUUCUGAUGUAAAUGUUAAGAUGUUGAACGGAAACUCUGUGUGUAAAAUUUGUAUAAUUUCGUAUGGAUAAAGUGAAAGGGAAGGGCUCCCUUUUAUCUUGU